AAAAAUGUGUUCGAUUUUGGGGCAUUUGUUGGAGACUUGAUUGUUGAAUAAGAUGCCAGCAUUGAUGAUAUAUCGCUGGAGGGGCUUCAACGAGAAUUGGAAGAAUGCAAAGAUGAUGAUGUGGUUGCAAACAUAAUGUCUAAAGGUGUAAAACUAAGGGAGUAUACAAAGGGGU